UACAGAGGGUGAGAGCGUUAAUCGGAAUUACUGGGCGUAAAGCGCGCGUAGGCGGCUUUGCAAGUCGGGUGUGAAAUCCCCAGGCUUAACCUGGGAACUGCAUUCGAGACUGCAUUGCUAGAGUAUGGGAGAGGGAAGUGGAAUUUCCGGUGUAGCGGUGAAAUGCGUAGAUAUCGGAAGGAACAUCAGUGGCGAAAGCGACUUCCUGGACCAAUACUGACACUCAGGUGCGACAGCGUGGGGAGCAAACAGG
rnacentral:rRNA from 1 species